rnacentral:rRNA from 1 species
AUUGAACGCUGGCGGCAGGCCUAACACAUGCAAGUCGAACGAGUGGCGGACGGGUGAGUAAUGUCUGGGAAACUGCCUGAUGGCGGGGGACAACUACUGGAAACGGUAGCUACUACCGCAUACCAGCGGAUGUGCCCAGAUGGGAUUAGCUAGUAGGUGGGGUACAGGCUCACCUAGGCGACGAUCCCUAGCUGGUCUGAGAGGAUGACCAGCCAAACUGGAACUGGGACAAGGUCCAGACUCCUACGGGAGGCAGCAGUGGGGAAUAUUGCACAAUGGGCGCAAGCCUGAUGCAGCCAUGCCGCGUGUAUGAAGAAGGCCUUAGGGUUGUAAAGUACUUUCAGGGGGGAGGCGUUACCCACAGAAGAAGCACCGGCUAACUCCGUGCCAGCAGCCGCGGUAAUUC